CAAACACUCCUCUUAGCCCGCCCCUAAUUCACGCCACAAUUAUCCCCAAUCUUCCAGAUCACCAUUACAUUGAUGAUCCAAGAAUUUGGUGAAUCAAAACCAAAAAAUCUUCAAUACACUACAAUUCAUAUCUCAAUCUGUAAUAACAUUUAGAUCAGAAAGAGUACAAGCGGAAGUGUUGAAGGCAAGGGAAAUAAUUCAUAUUCAAGAAGUGAUUUUGAUGUUAAAGUCCAAAUUCAAUGAUGAUUGAUGAUGUGUAUGUUUUGUCAGUUUUGAUCACAAUGUACAAGAAAUGUCGUGAUCUUUGUUGCUGCCAAAAGAGUGUUUGAUAGGUUUCUGCAUAAAGAUAGUGUGAUGGAAUUCUAUGAUAACAAGUUAAGCGCAACACGGUUUGGGAAGAGAAGAUCUGUUUCAAGAGAUGUAUUCUUCAAGCAUUGCUGUAGACGAUGUUAUAUUUGUUGGAGUUCUCUCGGCCUGUAGUUAUUCUAGACUACUCAAAGAGGGAAAUGAGAUCUUUUAAGUCCAUAAAAUCAAAAUAUUCGACAGAGCCCUCCUCAAAACAUUAUGCUUGCACGGUUGAUUUGUUGGGGGCAAGAUGGUCACUUUAGUGAGGUUAUGUUUCUUGUGGCGUUCACAAUCUGAGUGACGUUUAUAAACUAUGUAAUCAAGAGGUCGAUAAUUUCUUAAUUAUUGGUUGUUUGAGUCAUCGUUUGUGAAUUAAAUCCAAAACCUUGGUUCAAUUGGCGUUAUUGGGAUUUGGUUCAAUCUCGUUGUGGGUUUGUAGUUGUCAUUGCUACAUGGGUUCACAUCAGUUGGUAUUAGAGAUUGGGCUUUAAAAUCAAGGUUAUAUCCCUUUUGCUCUUGUUGAGCCUUUGUUUUUCAUUUUCCAUGUUUUUGUUUUGUGUUCUUCGUAUUUUCCAAUUGUUGUUGAGUCUUUGAUUCGUUAAAAUUUCGAAAAUUGUUGUUGGGCUAAUUUAGCAUCGAAAUCAACUUCCAUUUGUUUUGUUGGUGUCAUAGUCAAUUUUUCUAUCUAAAGAGUCCAAAAAAAAAAAGAGUGAAAAAUCGAAAAAAUAUAAAAUAUAAAAUACUAUUGUUGUCAUUGUUAGAUUAUUUUAGGAAUUUUCAGCCUUCUACAAAGUCUUAAGUCAAUUUUGAUAUAUCCCACCCCAUCAAAAUUCAAGAACCACAUUGAGGUAGAGGAAUAGAGAGAGAUUGAUCAAUACAUGGGAUGAGUUGAAGGCAAUAAUGUGGAAGAGGUUCGUGCCAAGUCAUUACUAUAUGGAACUCCAUCAAAAGUUUCAGAGUUUAUACCAGGGGUCGAGAAGUGUGAAGGACUACCACAAGGAGAUGGAAAUAUUAAUGAUUAGGGUAAAUGUGGAAAAGGAUCAGGAAGCCACUAUGACUCGGUUUCUCAAUGGUUUGAAUAGGGAUAUUGCUAAUGUGGUAGAGUUGCAGCACUAUAUGGAGUUAGAAGACAUGCUUCAUGUGGCCAUGAAGGUAGAGAGGUAAUUAAAGCGAAAGCGGACGACUAAGUAUCAAUCGAGGCCUAAUUCAACUUUGAAGUCUAGAUGGGAUGAUGACCAGGUUGAUGGGGCUGUUACAAAUAAUAAAGCCGAAUCACCAAGGUGAAAGGAAGAGAAUGCCAGCAAGAUCACACAAAAGGUGGAGCCACAUCCAUAUAGGAGUCGGGUUAUUAAGUGUUUCAAGUGCUUGGGAUCGGGACAUAUUACUUCUCAGUGUCCAAACAAACGAGCCAUGAUUUUGAGUGCUAAUGGGAAAGUAAUGAGUGACAGUGAUGGAGAUGGGAUGCCUGAACUAAAGGAUGCUAGUAGUGGUGGUGAAGUGGUCGAACAUGCGGUAGAAGGGGACGUACUAGUGGUGAUGCGUGCACUCAAUACACAAAUCAAGGUGGAUGAAGAAGAGCAGCAACAGAAGAAUAUCUUUCAUACUAGAUGCCAUGUGGAGAACAAGGUAUGUAGUUUAAUAAUCGGUGGAGAUUAUUGCAUUAAAAUAGCUAGUACCACUUUUGUAGAGAAGUUAGAGCUAACUAUCCUAAGCCUUACAAAUUACAGUGGUUGGAUGAUUGUGGAGAGGUUAAUGUGAAUAAGAGAGUACUAGUGAAAUUUUUAAUUGGGCGGUAUAACGAUGAAAUGUUGUGUGAUGUUGUGCCUAUACAUGCCCAGCAUAUAUUGUUGGGUAGACGUGGCAAUAUGAUAGGAAGGUGAAGCAUGAACGUUUAGAUAAAGGUAUAGUUUCAA